GACGAACGCUGGCGGCGUGCUUAACACAUGCAAGUCGAACGGAAAGGCCCUGCUUUUGUGGGGUGCUCGAGUGGCGAACGGGUGAGUAACACGUGAGUAACCUGCCCUUGACUUUGGGAUAACUUCAGGAAACUGGGGCUAAUACCGGAUAGGAGCUCCUGCUGCAUGGGGGGGGUUGGAAAGUUUCGGCGGUUGGGGAUGGACUCGCGGCUUAUCAGCUUGUUGGUGGGGUAGUGGCUUACCAGGGCUUUGACGGGUAGCCGGCCUGAGAGGGUGACCGGCCACAUUGGGACUGAGAUACGGCCCAGACUCCUACGGGAGGCAGCAGUGGGGAAUAUUGCACAAUGGGCGGAAGCCUGAUGCAGCAACGCCGCGUGCGGGAUGACGGCCUUCGGGUUGUAAACCGCUUUCGCCUGUGACGAAGCGUGAGUGACGGUAAUGGGUAAAGAAGCACCGGCUAACUACGUG
rnacentral:rRNA from 1 species